UUUGGAGUCCACUUGCCCCUGGAAUCGGGCACGAAAGACAAGACUUUCUUGAGCACAAGGUCACCUUCUCGGAACACACGAGGCUUGACCUUCUUAUCGAAUGCUUUCUUCAUUCUCUGCUGAUAUAACUGACCACGACACAUGGCAGUCAAUCUCUUCUCUUCAAUCAAAUUCAGUUGGUCGUAACGACUCUGAAUCCAUUCAGCAUCAGUCAACUAGGGAUUUGAGGGUAUAAUUUUUCUUUUUUCCUUUGAAGAAAUCUUGAAAUUUUUUU
rnacentral:lncRNA from 1 species